rnacentral:rRNA from 1 species
CCUACGGGAGGCAGCAGUGAGGAAUUUUCCGCAAUGGGCGCAAGCCUGACGGAGCGACGCCGCGUGCACGAGGAAGGUCUUCGGAUCGUAAAGUGCUGUCGAGGGGGACGAUUAUGACGGUACCCCUGGAGGAAGCCCCGGCUAACUUCGUGCCAGCAGCCGCGGUAAUACGAAGGGGGCUAGCGUUGCUCGGAAUCACUGGGCGUAAAGCGCACGUAGGCGGCUUUUUAAGUCAGGGGUGAAAUCCUGGAGCUCAACUCCAGAACUGCCUUUGAUACUGAGAAGCUUGAGUCCGGGAGAGGUGAGUGGAACUGCGAGUGUGGAGGUGAAAUUCGUAGAUAUUCGCAAGAACACCAGUGGCGAAGGCGAUCAUCUGGGGCUAACCUGACACUGAGGAGCGAAAGCUAGGGGAGCAAACGGGAUUAGAUACCCCGGUAGUCCUAGCCGUAAACGAUGGACACUAGGUGUAGGUGGUAUCGACUCCAUCUGUGCCGCAGUUAACACAAUAAGUAUCCCGCCUGGGGAGUACGGCCGCAAGGUUAAAACUCAAAGGAAUUGACGG